rnacentral:rRNA from 1 species
UGGGGGUUAUUGCACAAUGGGCGAAAGCCUGAUGCAGCGACGCCGCGUGGGGGAUGAAGGCUUUCGGGUUGUAAACCUCUUUCGCUAUCGAACAAGGCCCGCUUAGGGUGGGUUGAGGGUAGGUGGAGAAGAAGCGCCGGCUAACUACGUGCCAGCAGCCGCGGUAAUACGUAGGGCGCGAGCGUUGUCCGGAAUUAUUGGGCGUAAAGGGCUUGUAGGCGGCUUGUUGCGCCUGCUGUGAAAACGCGGGGCUUAACUUCGCGCGUGCAGUGGGUACGGGCAGGCUUGAGUGUGGUAGGGGUGACUGGAAUUCCAGGUGUAGCGGUGGAAUGCGCAGAUAUCUGGAGGAACACCGAUGGCGAAGGCAGGUCACUGGGCCAUUACUGACGCUGAGGAGCGAAAGCAUGGGUAGCGAACAGG